rnacentral:rRNA from 1 species
GUGGUAAUCUAGAGCUAAUACAUGCUACAAGCCUGACUUCGGAAGGGGCGUAUUUAUUAGAUUAAAACCAAUGCCCUCUGGGCUCCUUGGUGAAUCAUGAUACUUCACGAAUCGCACGGCCUUGCGCCGGCGAUGGCUCAUUCAAAUUUCUUCCCUAUCAACUUUCGAUGUUUGGGUAGUGGCCAAACAUGGUUGCAACGGGUAACGGAGGGUUAGGGCUCGACCCCGGAGAAGGAGCUGAGAAACGGCUACUACAUCCAAGGAAGGCAGCAGGCGCGCAAAUUACCCAAUCCCGAUUCGGGGAGGUAGUGACAAUAAAUACUGAUACAGGGCUCUUUCGGGUCUUGUAAUCGGAAUGAGUACAAUUUAAAUCCCUUAACGAGGAACAAUUGGAGGGCAAGUCUGGUGCCAGCAGCCGCGGUAAUUCCAGCUCCAAUAGCGUAUAUUAAAGUUGUUGUGGUUAAAAAGCUCGUAGUUGAACCUUGGGCCUGGCUGGCCGGUCCGCCUCACCGCGUGUACUGGUCCGGCCGGGCCUUUCCCUCUGUGGAACCUCAUGCCCUUCACUGGGUGUGCUGGGGAAACAGGACUUUUACUUUGAAAAAAUUAGAGUGCUCCAGGCAGGCCUAUGCUCGAAUACAUUAGCAUGGAAUAAUAAAAUAGGACGUGCGGUUCUAUUUUGUUGGUUUCUAGGACCGCCGUAAUGAUUAAUAGGGACAGUCGGGGGCAUCAGUAUUCAAUUGUCAGAGGUGAAAUUCUUGGAUUUAUUGAAGACUAACUACUGCGAAAGCAUUUGCCAAGGAUGUUUUCAUUAAUCAGGAACGAAAGUUAGGGGAUCGAAAACGAUCAGAUACCGUUGUAGUCUUAACCAUAAACUAUGCCGACUAGGGAUCGGACGAUGUUAUUUUUUGACUCGUUCGGCACCUUACGAGAAAUCAAAGUGCU